CUGUGACUCCUACGGGGAGGCAGCAGUGGGGAAUAUUGCACAAUGGGGGAAACCCUGAUGCAGCCAUGCCGCGUGUGUGAAGAAGGCCUUCGGGGUUGUAAAGCACUUUCAGUAGGGAGGAAGGUAGUGUAGUUAACACCUGCACUAUUUGACGUUACCUACAGAAGAAGCACCGGCUAACUCCGUGCCAGCAGCCGCGGUAAUACGGAGGGUGCGAGCGUUAAUCGGAAUUACUGGGCGUAAAGCGCAUGCAGGCGGCCUGUUAAGUCAGAUGUGAAAGCCCGGGGCUUAACCUCGGAAUUGCAUUUGAAACUGGCAGGCUAGAGUCUUGUAGAGGGGGGUAGGAAUUUCAGGUGUAGCGGUGAAAUGCGUAGAGAUCUGAAGGAAUACCAGUGGCGAAGGCGGCCCCCUGGACAAAGACUGACGCUCAGAUGCGAAAGCGUGGGGAGCAAACAGGAUUAGAUACCCUGGUAG
rnacentral:rRNA from 1 species